rnacentral:misc_RNA from 1 species
ACUCAAUCCUUCCCUAUCAGUGGGCCAUAAGGUGGCCUUAAAACUCCCAAGGAACUCCAGUGUGGUGUCCCGGUAGGCAGGGAAUUGGAGUUGGGCAAAUCUGGUCCACCCAAUGCUGUCAAAGAGCCCAUUGAUUUCGUCUUGCAGUCCUAUUUGCUCCAGCAGCCCAAAGUCCAUAUACUUCAUGGAGAUUAUUCUUCGAUUGUUAAGCUGGACACAUAGAUCUCUGUAGGCAUUGUUGCGGAAUCCCCAAGUAAUGGAAAAUUCCAGUUGUGCCAGUUGUUGGGGUUGUGGUGGUUGAGGUUGUGGGUGUAACACCCCUAUAUUUGGUAGUGCGUUCUACUGUUUCGAUGAUCAGUGUUUGUCCGGACAGCUAAAAUGCCUGAAACUAUACUUAAAUGUUAAUAAGGAGACAUGAAAUGAUGAAAUAAAUAAAAAGAAA